rnacentral:rRNA from 1 species
AUACGGAGGAUGCGAGCGUUAUCCGGAAUUAUUGGGUUUAAAGGGAGCGUAGGUGGGUUAUUAAGUCAGCUGUGAAAGUUUGGGGCUCAACCUUAAAAUUGCAGUUGAUACUGGUUUCCUUGAGUAUGGUACAGGUGGGCGGAAUUCGUGGUGUAGCGGUGAAAUGCUUAGAUAUCACGAAGAACUCCGAUCGCGAAGGCAUCUCGCCGGGCCGGAAAUGACAAUGAUGCACGAAAGGGCGGGUAUCAAUCAGGAGUAGAUACGCUGGUAGUCCGCACAGUAAACGAUGAAUAGUCGCUGUGUGCGAUACACGGUAAGCGGCCAAGCGAAAGCGUUAAGUAGUCCGCCUGGGGAGUACGCCCGCAACGGUGAAACUUAAAGGAAUUGACGGGG